rnacentral:tRNA from 1 species
UCCCUGCUGGCUCAGAUGGUAAAGCAUCUGUCUAGGAUGCGGGAGACCUGGGUUCGAUCCCUGGGUUGGGAA